rnacentral:tRNA from 1 species
UUAGAAAAAUAGGGAUCG